rnacentral:pre_miRNA from 1 species
UUGGUACUCCCUCCGUCCGGAAAUACUUGUCAUUGAAAUGGAUGUAUCUACACGUAUUUUAGUUCUAGAUACAUCCAUUUUCAUCCAUUUUGAUGACAAGUAUUUCCGGACGGAGGGAAUACAUG